GAAAGAGGACAGCAAACGGCGCUGCUCCGAGCGCCGCUCCGAGCCAGCUCUGGUAGAGGCGUGGACCUGUGCAGGAAUACUCAUACCCUGCGCGGAGAAGAUGGGAGUUAGAUCACAUGGUAUGCCUCUGAUUUAUGUGCACAUUUUCACGUUAACACCAAAGGGUAACUCAAACAUCACAAUCUGACAUCUCCUGCCCACCUGUGUGUCGACUGGCGGCUCCUCCGACUGCAGCCGUGUGCUCUGAAGGUAUGUUGGUAGGUGCAGGGAGGUCAAGGAAAAAAAACAAAACUGAAAAGGCCUUGGACCACAGCUGGAUGCCACAACACUCCUAAAGCUCAGCAGAUACUGGGCUACUUAAUUCCAGCCAAAAAGUUCCUCAGUUUCACCACCAGAGGGGGCUGCUAUUUGAUACAAAGGAUGUCGUACAGGAUGGUCAUCUCCUCAAACUCGGAGCGUGGGUUGAAGUAUGGCCGGGAAGGUGUGGUGACAGGAGACAGGCU